CUAUAUAUAACCGUAUAUGUCAUUUUUAGGUUGUGGUUGAAAUGAAUACAUACUUUAAACUUCUUGUGAUCGAUAGACUUUGUGAACUGAAGAUUUAUACACAUUUUAAAGGAAUGUCCAAGAUAACUGAAGACCCUUGCUCACUUAGGAAAGUGUUCUAAUUGUAAUGCUUAUCAACAAAACUUAAGAAGUACAAUAAUGAAAUGAAACUACAUCGGAAAUAAAAAUGUUCAUUGAUCAAUGUCAUUCUUUGUUUAAUUGUGUAAAAGCACUAUUAAAGGAAAAUAUCUAUGUCUCUGUUCAGUUAUCUAUUUUUAGUAUUUGGUGUCGUCU